AUGAUUAGGCGCCGCCGCUCACGGUGGCGGCAAAGGAGUCGACGCCGUUUGUUGAGGCUCCUCCGACGAGAUUCACGUCUCUGUCUACCUGAAAACCGCCCGCGUUAGGGCAAAAUCACCGCUCUCUACACCACCACUCUCAACCUAAUCAUCAUAACAACUUCACCGGAGACGAAGGUGUGAUCUGGGUUUGAAGAUCUGAAUCUGUUUUCUUUUUUCUUUUCUUUCUUUUUUUUUUAUUUUUGAAGUAGAUUUUUCAAUAAUUGUGGUUUGAUUUGAAAUUAUGAAUGAUAGUUGUGGAUUGGUGUUUUUAUUAUAGUAGGAUUUGAGAUU
rnacentral:lncRNA from 1 species